rnacentral:pre_miRNA from 1 species
AGGAGGAACAACCGCAUUGGCAGCGGCCAGCUCUGGAGCCCUGGAGUCAGCUCCCGCAGUAACUCCGGAGCUCUCGGUCUGCAGGGCCUGGAGGCUCCGGGGCGGG